UGUCUAGGAAUGAAUAUAUAUGUUUUUUUUUAUAUAUGUAUGUGUGUGUGUGUGUGUGUAUAUAUAUGUAUAUAAAAUCUCCCACCAAAUGAAUGGAUCAAUAAA
rnacentral:miRNA from 1 species